AUCAAGACAGAGCUGGUUUGAAGAGAAGGAGGUUUGAACACAGUUACACCAACAACUCCACGGAAGCCAGAAUUAAAUUACCUGGAAGGUGAUAUCUCAGUGGCUGAAUUUUGAAGUUAAUAUAUUCACGAAGAGGAUAACUCUGGGAGACAGGUGAUGAUGUACUUGCUGGAGAGGGCAGUUCCUCACAUACUAUGGAAUAAUGUUAGAAAACAAAAAUCACGCUCUUAAUUUGGCAUGGGAGAGACUCAAGCUAACUAAUGCACAGUAUACCAAACGUCUACUUAGAACUGAUCCUGCAUUCCCAAUACAGAACAUUAGAUAUUGUGGUUACAUAUUGUGGUUAGAUUCCUAGGUCAGAUACAAAUUGUAAAAUUAACUCUUGAUGCUGCUGAAACACUCUAUACUUGGAAGGAAAAUUAACAGUAAAAAUGCAUUGAUAGCAAUUUAA
rnacentral:lncRNA from 10 species